rnacentral:tRNA from 1 species
GGUGUAGUGUAAUGGAUAACACAUCAGUCCGGUCUACUGAAGAUGCUGGUUCGCUCCCAGCCGCCGAAU